UACGGAGGGGGCGAGCGUUAUUCGGAAUUAUUGGGCGUAAAGGGCGCGUAGGCGGCUGUACAAGUCAAAGGUGAAAUCCCUCGGCUCAACUGAGGAACUGCCUUUGAAACUGUACGGCUUGAGGCCGGGAGGAGGUAGCGGAAUUCCCAGUGUAGCGGUGAAAUGCGUAGAUACUGGGAGGAACACCAGUGGCGAAGGCGGCUACCUGGACCGGUUCUGACGCUGAGGCGCGAAAGCGUGGGUAGCAAACAGG
rnacentral:rRNA from 1 species